rnacentral:lncRNA from 1 species
ACAAUCACAGCUCUCCUUGCAUGGCAGAGGCCUUAGGCUCGGGGUGGGAAUCUGGCCACGUCUGAAUGCAGACUGUAGAGGUGCAGAUACGGCCCUACUGAAGGAGCAAGGCUGGGCACAGAGGUUAGGGGAGGCCGACUUGUCCCUGGGCACGUUAAGAAAGACAGUUCCUCAGUCAUCUGGGACUUGGUAGAAAAGGGAGAAAGGAAAGGAGACUUUUUCAAAGAACAAGAUAAUAAUCAUGGUCAGCCACUGUGUUAGCACUUCUUAUAUGUUUUCUCCUUAAUUCCAGCCAUGCCUGUGCAGUGGUCGCUUCUUUCUUUUGCUGUGUGACUGCGGCCUGGUAGGCUCACAGAGGCUUGGCCAUCUGCUUGUCCAUCGCCCCCUGCCCAGCUUGCUGGCCUGCGGCUCCUCUCACUCCACAGCCACCAACGCUCCACCAUCCUGCACGGACAGGAUUCUCUUUCUCUACCCUUCGCUGGGAGGCCGUUGCUUCAUCUCCUCUCUGGCUGCUCAAUCCAAAUCUGUAUCUCCCUUCUCUUUCCAGACAUCACUGACGCAGGGCCCAGUAAGCCAGAGCUUUUUUUUUUUUUUUUUUUUUUGAGAUGGAGUCUCACUCUUUUGCCCAGGCUGGAGCGCAGUGGCACAAUAUCAGCUCACUGAAACUCAGGUUUCAAGCAAUUCUCCUGCCUCAGUCUCCCAAGUAGCUGAGAUUACAAGGGCCCACCACAACACCCAGCUAAUUUUUGUAUUUUUAGUAGAGACAGGAUUUCACCAUGUUAGCCAGGCUGGUCUUGAACUUCUGACCUCAAGUGAUCCGCCCCCCUCGGCCUCCCAGAAGUGUUGGGAUUACAGGCGUGAGCCACCCUGCCCGGCUGAGCCGGAGCUUUAUUACUGAUUUGCAGAUCAUGCGGAAGGCGGUGAGGCUGCAGGCUUGCAUAGCACAUGGCUUAUUAGCUGGUCGAUUCACAGCUCUGCAACCUCCCUUUGCUGCUUUUGCCAACCCACAUCUAGCCUCCCAUGUCUGGCUCAGCUCUCUUCCAUUUUGCCUUUUGCUGCUUCCUUAAUCAACCCCCUGCCCGCUUCACAACUCUUCCCUCCUUGGUUGUAGAAAGUCCUCCUGCUCUAACUGCCCCCACCCCUAAAGCCAGGGCCUAGGUCGCCAUAACUGAGGAGCCCUGCAUUUCCUCUGCUCCACCAGGCGUCUUCCUACUUGCUGGUCUCAGGCAUCCUCAACAGGAUAACUUCCUGCAGCAACACAUUUCACUGAGUGGCAAAGGCCAGGUCGCCCAGCAAGCCACUGGGGAGGAAGGCAGGACAUGUGUGGCCCCAGAGCCUCAGUCUGUGACCUGGAGAACAGCCAAUUUGGUUUUAGGGAAUCAGGUUGUCCUGUUGUCUGGGCCACAUCAGGCCUGGCCAGCCAGAGAUCCAAAACAAACCUGAUGCCGCUCACAGCUCAGCGGCCUGAGGUCAUUCACUCACUAUUCCUUUAGGAAACAAAUGCCAGCAAGUGGUGUAAGAAUACCAAUGCCAUUGCAGGCUCUGCCAACAGGUACAAUCAUUAUUGUUAUUUUUCUAAUCCAUGCCUGUUGCAAUUCAAUCAAAUUAAUGCUUCAUUUAUUAGAAAAUGUGAUUUUUGCAACACAAAUAGGGUAGGGCUGCCCCAAAAGUCCCAGUCUUUUGCCACUGACCCCUGCACUUUCCUCAGCCUGGGACCGAUCUGCUGCCCCAGGACCCUGCCUUGGCCUGGGCAUUGGCAACACAGAAACUGGCUCCUCACAGAUCAAACUGAAAAGAGGAGACUGGGGAGUGCCUGGGACGGUGGAAUUCCUGAAUGUCUGUUGCCUAGGAAAGAAAAUUCAAUGCCAGUUAGCUUGUUGCUCACACAGAUUCUGAGAAAGACUCAGACUUUCAGAGAUUCUGCCUCUUGCGAUAUCAUAUUAGACUUACUAACUAAAAACAAACAUUGUGCUUAAAUGGAAGAGCAACAUCCAGACAGAAAAGUGCACAGAUAAUAUGUGUACUGCCUGAUGAUUUCUUACAGACUCAACACUUCCAUGUAACCAGCUCCCAGAUCAAGAAACAGAACCUUCCAGGAGCCUCCUGGUGUCCCCUUAAUCACUACCCCUCCUCCCAAGAUCUAGGCACAGAGGUCACUCUGAGCUUCCAUUUGGACAGCUGCCUGUUCGUGGGAAGAUCACCAAGCUCUUAACCCAGGAAGGGAUGCUGUGCUGCAUAUUGGCGUUGUUGUGAGGUCAAGAGAGAUUUCAUCCCUGCUGUCCUUCCUCAGAUGGGUCAUUAUGUCUGGAUUCAGGAAGAGAAUAUGCAAAUGUUGAGUCUGUGCCUCUUAACAAACUCAUCCUGCAUGAAAAAUCAUUAUUUACUUCA